rnacentral:rRNA from 1 species
GACGAACGCUGGCGGUGUGCCUAACACAUGCAAGUCGAACGGAAAGGCACUGCUUUUGUGGGGUGCCCGAGUGGCGAACGGGUGAGUAACACGUGAGUAUCCUGACCUAGUUUUUGGGAUAACUUAAGGAAACUGGGGUUAAUCUCGUAUAGGAGACCCUGUUGCAUGGUGGGGGUUGGAACGUCUCGGCGGUUGGGGUUGGAUGAGCGGGUUAUCAGCUAGUUGGUGGGGUAGUGGCUUACCCAGUCUUUGACGGGUAGCCGGCCUGGGAGGGUGACCGGCCACAAUAGGACUGAGAUACGGCCCAGACGCCAACGGUGGGCAGCAGUGGGGAAUAUUGCACAGUGAGCGGAAGCCUGAUGCGACAGCGCCGCGGGCGGGAUGACGUCCUGCGGGGUAUGAACCGCAUUCGCCUAUGACGAAGCUGGAGUGACGGUAAUGAGUAAAGAAGCACCGGCUAACUACGUG